rnacentral:rRNA from 1 species
AAUGAACGUUGGCGGCGUGGAUUAGGCAUGCAAGUCGAGCGCUCAUAGCAAUAUGGGAGCGGCGAACGGCGUAGUAAUGCAUCGGAACGUACCCUUCGGUCGGGGAUAGCCACGGGAAACUGUGGGUAAUACCCGAUGAUAUCUGCGGAUCAAAGGUGAGAUUCCGCCGGAGGAGCGGCUGAUGUGAUAUUAGCUUGAUGGUGGGGUAAUGGCCUACCAUGGCGAUGAUGUCUAGGGGGUGUGAGAGCAUGGCCCCCCACGACCGGAACUGAGACACUGUCCGGACACCUACGGGUGGCUGCAGUCGAGAAUCUUCCGCAAUGGACGAAAGUCUGACGGAGCGACGCCGCGUGCGGGAUGAAGGCCCUUGGGUUGUAAACCGCUGUCAGAGGGAUGAAAUCUCCGGGGGUACUCCCCCGGAGUUGACAGAGCCUCAAGGAAGCACGGGCUAAGUACGUGCCAGCAGCCGCGGUAAUGUCACA